UACAGAGGUGCCAAGCGUUAGGCGGAAUCACUGGGCUUAAAGCGUGUGUAGGUGGAUUUGUAAGUACCUUGUGAAAUCCCAUGGCUCAACCAUGGAACUGCUCGGUAUACUGCGAAUCUUGAGCCACUUAGGGGCUACCGGAACAAAUGGUGGAGCGGUGAAAUGCGUAGAUAUCAUUUGGAACGCCAAUGGUGAAAACAGGUAGCUGGGAGUGUGCUGACACUGAGACACGAAAGCCAGGGGAGCGAACGGG
rnacentral:rRNA from 1 species